rnacentral:rRNA from 1 species
UACGGGGGGGGCAAGCGUUGUUCGGAAUUACUGGGCGUAAAGGGCUCGUAGGUGGCCAACUAAGUCAGACGUGAAAUCCCUCGGCUUAACCGGGGAACUGCGUCUGAUACUGGAUGGCUUGAGUUUGGGAGAGGGACGCGGAAUUCCAGGUGUAGCGGUGAAAUGCGUAGAUAUCUGGAGGAACACCGGUGGCGAAGGCGGCAUCCUGGACCGACACUGACGCUGAGGAGCGAAAGCUAGGGGAGCAAACGGG